rnacentral:miRNA from 1 species
UAUUAGGUUAGUGCAAAAGUAAUUGCAGUUUUUGCAAAUUUAAUUGCAAAGACUGCAAUUACUUUUGCACCAAC